GGAGCAACGCCGCGUGAGUGAAGAAGGGUUUCGGCUCGUAAAGCUCUGUUGGUAGUGAAGAAAGAUAGAGGUAGUAACUGGCCUUUAUUUGACGGUAAUUACUUAGAAAGUCACGGCUAACUACGUGCCAGCAGCCGCGGUAAUACGUAGGUGGCAAGCGUUGUCCGGAUUUAUUGGGCGUAAAGCGAGUGCAGGCGGUUCAAUAAGUCUGAUGUGAAAGCCUUCGGCUCAACCGGAGAAUUGCAUCAGAAACUGUUGAACUUGAGUGCAGAAGAGGAGAGUGGAACUCCAUGUGUAGCGGUGGAAUGCGUAGAUAUAUGGAAGAACACCAGUGGCGAAGGCGGCUCUCUGGUCUGCAACUGACGCUGAGGCUCGAAAGCAUGGGUAGCGAACAAGAUUAGAUACCCUGGUAGUCCAUGCCGUAAACGAUGAGUGCUAAGUGUUGGGAGGUUUCCGCCUCUCAGUGCUGCAGCUAACGCAUUAAGCACUCCGCCUGGGGAGUACGACCGCAAGGUUGAAACUCAAAGGAAUUGACGGGGGCCCGCACAAGCGGUGGAGCAUGUGGUUUAAUUCGAAGCAACGCGAAGAACC
rnacentral:rRNA from 1 species